UAAAGAAGAACAUAUCUGAGAGUAACUGUUCAGGUAUUGACGGUAUUUAACCAGAAAGCCACGGCUAACUACGUGCCAGCAGCCGCGGUAAUACGUAGGUGGCAAGCGUUGUCCGGAUUUAUUGGGCGUAAAGCGAGCGCAGGCGGUUUUUUAAGUCUGAUGUGAAAGCCUUCGGCUCAACCGAAGAAGUGCAUCGGAAACUGGGAAACUUGAGUGCAGAAGAGGACAGUGGAACUCCAUGUGUAGCGGUGAAAUGCGUAGAUAUAUGGAAGAACACCAGUGGCGAAGGCGGCUGUCUGGUCUGUAACUGACGCUGAGGCUCGAAAGUAUGGGUAGCAAACAGGAUUAGAUACCCUGGUAGUCCAUACCGUAAACGAUGAAUGCUAAGUGUUGGAGGGUUUCCGCCCUUCAGUGCUGCAGCUAACGCAUUAAGCAUUCCGCCUGGGGAGUACGGCCGCAAGGCUGAAACUCAAAGGAAUUGACGGGGGCCCGCACAAGCGGUGGAGCAUGUGGUUUAAUUCGAAGCUACGCGAAGAACCUUACCAGGUCUUGACAUACUAUGCAAAUCUAAGAGAUUAGACGUUCCCUUCGGGGACAUGGAUACAGGUGGUGCAUGGUUGUCGUCAGCUCGUGUCGUGAGAUGUUGGGUUAAGUCCCGCAACGAGCGCAACCCUUAUUAUCAGUUGC
rnacentral:rRNA from 2 species